rnacentral:rRNA from 1 species
GACGAACGCUGGCGGCGUGCUUAACACAUGCAAGUCGAACGGAAAGCCCCUGCUUUUGUGGGGUGCUCGAGUGGCGAACGGGUGAGUAACACGUGAGUAACCUGCCCUUGACUUUGGGAUAACUUCAGGAAACUGGGGCUAAUACCGGAUAGGAGCUCCUGCUGCAUGGUGGGGGUUGGAAAGUUUCGGCGGUUGGGGAUGGACUCGCGGCUUAUCAGCUUGUUGGUGGGGUCGUGGCUUACCAAGGCUUUGACGGGUAGCCGGCCUGAGAGGGUGACCGGCCACCAUGCGACUGAGGUACGGCCCAGACUCCUACGGGGGGCAGCAGUGGGGAAUAUUGCACAAUGGGCGGAAGCCUGAUGAAGCAACGCCGCGGGCGGGAUGACGGCUUUCGGGUUGUAAACCGCUUUCGCCUGUGACGAAGCGUGAGUGACGGUAACGGGUAAAGAAGCACCGGCUAACUACGUG